AUGCUGAUUAAACCUUGCAUAUUACAGUCUGGGCCUCUCUGGUGGUCUCUCUGGGGGUCGUGAUCUGGGCACAACAUAUGGUGCAUUGGCUGGGAACCCCAGCGAUUCCACCAGGAUGAUGGAAGUCCAGAGGUUUAUUAGCAUCUACCGGCUCCUAUGGCGCCCCAGCCCCCUCCCCCCAGCAGUUAGACAUGGAGAGGAGAGAGGCAAAAUCUUGGAGAGCACCCAAAAGGAACUGGGCGCAGAGAGGGUAGGGAAUACAUGCCUGUGACUUGUAAUGUCUUUGGGGCUACUACACUGGGUACGUGGUGAUCCCCUGGAGUUCCAGACCACUGUUGUUUCUUUGUUUAUUAUGUUUAAGGCUGGACAGACGGGACAAUAAAUAAAUAAAUAAAUAAAUAAAUAAAUAAAUAAAAACUUAAAUGUAAAUGCAGAUAACUUGACAGCAGCCCAUCUAGGGUCUAUAUCCAUAGCCCUGAGCCAGGUCUGAUGGCAAGAGAAUACACUGUCUGGGUGGUGAGAGCUAAGCCUUGAGACUGCGGGAAAUGCAAUAUGGCAGAGGAUCUGAAUGGACGCUGGGGGGCUCCGAGGCCAGGGAGCAAGGACACCUGAGAUGGAGCGGAUGGCAAAAUCAUCAUGCACCCGGCCUUAAACGGUGGAGCUAGUGACUGAGAGAGGCCGGCUGCAGCAAAACAGGGCAGCCACCUCUCCCUUGUUCUCUCUCUGUAUCUUGAGGGUCUUUG